AUCCGUAGGGUGCGAGCGUUGUCCGGAAUUACUGGGCGUAAAGAGCUCGUAGGUGGUUUGUCGCGUCGUCUGUGAAAUUCCGGGGCUUAACUCCGGGCGUGCAGGCGAUACGGGCAUAAUUUGAGUAUUGUAGGGGAGACUGGAAUUCCUGGUGUAGCGGUGAAAUGCACAGAUAUCAGGAGGAACACCGGUGGCGAAGGGGGGUCUCUGGGCAGUAACUGACGCUGAGGAGCGAAAGCAUGGGUAGCGAACAGGAUUAGAUACCCUGGUAGUCCAUGCCGUAAACGGUGGGCGCUAGGUGUAGGGGUCUUCCACGACUUCUGUGCCGUAGCUAACGCAUUAAGCGCCCCGCCUGGGGAGUACGGCCGCAAGGCUAAAACUCAAAUGAAUUGACGGGG
rnacentral:rRNA from 1 species